AUUGAACGCUGGCGGCAGGCCUAACACAUGCAAGUCGAGCGGAGCGGCGGACGGGGGAGUAAUGCCUAGGUAUCUGCCAGGUCGUGGGGGAUAACGUCCGGAAACGGGCGCUAAUACCACAUACUAUUAGAUGAGCCUAGGUCCGAUUGGCUAGUGGGGGGGGUAAAGGCAUACCAAGGCGACGAUCCGUAACUGGUCUGAGAGGAUGAUCAGUCACACUGGAACUGAGACACGGUCCAGACUCCUACGGGAGGCAGCAGUGGGGAAUAUUGGACAAUGGGCGAAAGCCUGAUGCAGCCAUGCCGCGUGUGUGAAGAAGGUCUUCGGAUUGUAAAGCACUUUAAGUUGGGAGGCGUUACCAGCAGAAGAAGCACCGGCUAACUUCGUGCCAGCAGCCGCGGUAAUUC
rnacentral:rRNA from 1 species